CGCCCUAGUGGCGGACGGGUGAGUAACGCGUGGGUAACCUGCCAUAUACAGGGGGAUAACACUUAGAAAUAGGUGCUAAUACCGCAUAAGCGCACAGGGGCGCAUGCCCCGGUGUGAAAAACUCCGGUGGUAUAUGAUGGACCCGCGUCUGAUUAGCCAGUUGGCAGGGUAACGGCCUACCAAAGCGACGAUCAGUAGCCGGCCUGAGAGGGCGGACGGCCACAUUGGGACUGAGACACGGCCCAAACUCCUACGGAAGGCAGCAG
rnacentral:rRNA from 1 species